rnacentral:snRNA from 1 species
GGAUGUGAGGGCAAUCUUGUUGUGACAUCUAGAUGUCACCCUACUGAUCACCAGGAUUGGCUGGCCUGAUCUGACUAGCCAGGGGGAUGUUCCCUCAUCCCUCACUGCUCCAUGUGCAUCCCUCCCAAAGCUGCAAGCUUGGCCUUCCUGGCAUAGAGGAGGACCAGUCUUCCAUCAAGGGUAUAGGAAUAGCUGUGCUCCCCUGCUACUAAAAAGCUCCAGAGAAAGCACCGGAGCAAACAUGGGCCCACUAGGGCCUUUUGCCACUGCAACCCAACUCCAGAUGCAUGUGCCACUUAAUGCAUCUGG